rnacentral:tRNA from 1 species
AGGGGAGAAACAUAAAGGAUAUGUGGUUGGCUUGAAACCAGUUUUAGGUGGUUCAAUUCCCCCCUCCCUUG